GGAAGUGGAGCCAUAUUAGACGGGGGAGGUCCUAGAAGGGACUUAACAGGAGGAAAUGGAGCCAGUGAAACCGAAAGAUGAUUGCCAUUACGCUUUCUACAUGAAGAAGAAGAUCUUGGACUAUCACGACCUUUACAAUUAUUUUUCCAAAUAGGAGGAACAUUAGACGGAGAAUGUUUUAUGAUAGACUUAUGAUGAGGCGACGCUAAUGAGAUGGGUGGACGACGAUGACGGGGACUUAACAGGAGGAAGUGGAGCCAUAUUAGACGGGGGAGGUCCUGGAAGGGACUUAACGGGAGGAAAUGGAGCCAGUGAAACCGAAAGAUGAUUGCCAUUACGCUUUCUACAUGAAGAAGAAGAUCUUGGACUAUCACGACCUUUACAAUUAUUUUUCCAAAUAGGAGGAACAUUAGACGGAGAAUGUUUUAUGAUAGACUUAUGAUGAGGCGACGCUAAUGAGAUGG
rnacentral:lncRNA from 1 species